CAUUUGCGUUAGGGAUUGUAGCAUUUGUUUGAGCUCUUUUUUCUUUUUCUGAAAAAAAGCGAGUGCGAAAAGCCCGUUAAAAC
rnacentral:misc_RNA from 1 species